CCUGUGUUCGCUUCGUCGGAACCAGUGAAGCAGCAUCUGCUCCCUCGAUUGGUGGUGGUGGUCGUCUUCUCAACCAGAGGCUUUGUAGAAUCUAGU